AGGUACCAUGUUGUGGAUUUGCGAGGAAGGGUAUGUUAAGGCUAUCAAGGAGGAGAUCAGCAAGGUUGUCAAGCUCCAAGAAGAACUUGACAUUGAUGUCCUUGUUCACGGAGAGCCUGAGAGGAACGAUAUGGUUAAGUACUUUGGAGAGAAAUUUU